rnacentral:lncRNA from 1 species
AAGCAGCACAUUCAUUCAUUCUACACACACACGCAAUUCACAGGCUCUCACACUCAUCGCUACUCUUUUCUCAUACACUACACAUACAUUCACUCACUCUUCUCAUUCAUACUCAUCUAUUCUCACUCACACUCGUCUACACACCUAAAGGCAUCUGAAAAAUAGAUUUGAAAAUUCAAAAAAAGAAAUUCCUUGCUAAAGGUUGAAAGUUCCAGUUUCAGAAAUUAAAAGCAAAGAUGGUUUAGUUUGAUUUUGGUACUAAAAACAACCAGCUCCUGUAUUUGAUUCAAGGAGAUCUUCUACCCUAUUUUCCUGAUUUUUCAAGCUGAAAACUGAAGUUGUUUUGCUGUUCAUUGCUGAAUUUGGGUGUUUCAAGUUGCUGAGCUCUAUUUUCUAUAUUUCCAUACCUUUAUUUGGUCUAUCUCACUUUCUCUUGUUGUUUAGGUAUGUUCAGUUACUUUUGUCGUUUUGAAUGGAAAUCAUGAAUGAAAUUCUAGUUGUUCUCUGCCUAAAUUCCAUAGAUCCAGCAUGUUCAAUGGCUGAAUUUGUUUGAAUUCCCAUCCCUUGUUAAUUUUCUGAAAUUCUUUGUCGGUAAAAGAUGGAUUUCUGAGUUGUUAAAUGUUGAUGAACUAAGUGAUGUCUAUCAUUAAUGAUAAUUAAUUUCCUAGGGGUAAGGAUUCAUACACAGUGAUGUCCACAGGAUAGACUAAUCUAAUUUGCGUUUGAUUGUUUAGAUACUGCCUGUAGCCGAUUGAUUUAUGAGGGUAGCCCGAUGGCUAUGUCAUUGUAAAUCAGAAUCAUCGAGAAGAAUGAAGGUCACUAGCCUGAGUUGUUGCUUUCCUGGAACCGGAUAAGGGUCUGAUUUGCCCAUCUACUAUCAUAAAUAGGUCUUAUUUAUCUUCCAUUUAAAUUUUUUAUCAAAAAUAUCUAUACAGUUAUACAUUAAGUUGAUAUUUACCUCUUACACGUUAAAAUGAGCUAUAUUUGCCCUUCGUUAUACUUUAGGAUCAUAUUUACCCCUCUACUCUUCACAAAGGGUUACAUUUGCCCUUCGUUAUUGUCACGACCCAAACAAACCCCUGUCGUGAUGGCGCCUAUCGUGGAACUAGGCAAGCCGACUCAUUUCUAAAACAAACCGAUAUUUUCAUUUCAAAGAUAAUUUCAGUGCUAUUUAACAUAAAAACCUUCGCAAAGGAGUUCAAAUCAAAACAAAAGUGCGGAAGGAAAAGCCCGACAUCGGGGUGUCACUAGUCAUGAGCAUCUACUAUAAUCUGUCUAAUAAUAUCAAGGCUAACUCAGCCUUGAAAAUAGCUAAAUACAACUAGAGGAAGAUAAGAGGGAGAAGAUGAGGGGCUACGGUCGCCAAGCAACCUUGUUAUCCCCGAAAAUAUUUGCAACCAAAAUAAUCAACAAUCACUACCGUGUCCAGCUACACCUGG